rnacentral:ncRNA from 2 species
GUACACACCGCCCGUCGC